GAUGAAGAACGUAGCGAAAUGCGAUAAUUAAUGUGAAUUGCAGAAUUCCGUGAAUCAUCGAGUCUUUGAAUGCACAUUGCGCCUCAUGGCAUUCCGUGAGGCAUGCCCAUCUCAGCGUUAGAAAAUAUUCUCAAAUUUUAGUUUUGUGCUAAAAUUUGGAUCAUGUCAAGGAAGCUAUUACUAUUAUUGUGAUCGCUCUUUGGAAAUUGAUAGGUCUUUGAGUUGCUACUCAUAGAACGUGAUGAAUCUUUCUUCGUUCUAUUGUAAUUCACUCUGGUAGUCCUAAAACUUGUAUGCCUGUGGCAUAUCUUGUAAUUUGACCUGAGAUUGGGUAGGGAUACCCGCUGAACUUAAGCAUAUCAAUAAGCGGAGGA
rnacentral:misc_RNA from 1 species